UUGUUUCUGUCUGUCUUUCUUUCUUACUUUUUUUCUUUUCUUUCCUUUUCUUUUCUCUCUGAAAGCGCGUCAUCAA
rnacentral:ribozyme from 11 species